GGACAUGAUUGGCUAUGGUGGUGUGAAAUACAUGUUUUUAGUACUCCUCAAUUCAUAUUGUUCAAAUUUCUUAUAAGCAAUGUCUUUUUUUUUUCUGCUAGGAGAUGCAGGUGGAUCACUCUCUACCAGAUCUCGAGGCAAAUAUUGGUCUAUGGUCCUUGCUCUCAGCAACAUCUUCAGUGUCCUGGUGAUGGGGUGCCUUGGAAGGACUGCGCAGAACAAGCUUCAUACCACCUCUGCACUUCAGGCUCUCUGCACUGAGGCAAUGAACACAGACCUGUACUUCACACAGGUUUUGCCACAGGAGCCUUUUCCAGUCCUGUCCCUGCUCAAACAGGGUCUGCCUGAACAUCCCUCAACAGCCGGCCAGAGCAACCAGCAAGCUUGCCAGAUGCUGCAAGAGAAGCAACGCUGGCAGUCAGCACUCGGAUGAGUUUGACCAGAAAGCACACUGCAUUAAUGCCUUGCAUUUUUGCAGCACCUUUUGCUUACAAGCAUCGUAACACCUCCCGUGAGGAGACUAGAAAUUGAGGAUUCGUGCAUAAAGUCCAUUCAGUGUCCUCAGGUAAAGAGGGAGGGAGGACAAGGUGCAGAAUUACACCCAGGGUUUUUCUGGAAACUGAACUUUUGCCAGUGAAAAGGUUUCCCCAGGCUGACUGUGUAGGGUCACACAAAAGCUUGGAGGGAAGGCAGCAGGUAUGCUUUGUGGC
rnacentral:lncRNA from 1 species